rnacentral:lncRNA from 1 species
AUUUUUUUUCUUUGAUUUGUGCAAAGCACUUUACAAAUUUGAGCCUCAGCUAAGGUCUGCAUGACCAUCACUUGGAUUCCAGGAAAUCAAGAUGACGUGAUUCAAGAGUUGUGAUUAGAAGCUUUUUGAUGACGGGAGCUUAUUACCGGCCUGGUAAUGUGCAUCAAAGUUAGACGAGCACUGUCAAUCUUUUGUCUCUCCUUUUGUACCCAAACCAAGUACAAAUUUUAUGCCACAGUAACAAUUCCUUUUUAUGCUCUGUGCUUUUCUGGUGUCACUAGCAAACGCACGCGAAAUCAAGAAAAUGCAGGCAAAGACUAGGAUGUGGAUUACAUAAACUUCUCUUGUGUUCUGUUAUGAUUCAUAUCCAAAGUUAGCUAGUAUAGGUGCAUUAAACUUUGAGUCUAACAAGUUGCAUUAGAGACAGAUCUUUCUUGUGCCAGAGUAUCUUGUGCUUUAACUAUAAAAAUCAUGUAAUUGCAUGAAAGAAUAGCUUAGUAAUUUUUCUUUUUCAUGGAUGUAUGUGGCACUUUGGACACUGGAUGAGUAUAUUCACAAGUCAUUUACAGUAACUGGUAAUGCUGAAAGACAGCUAAUUACUCUUAGAUUGUCUCAUUGCUGCAAAUUUUGUUGGGCUUAAAUAGCUGAGCUACAUUGUUAGGGCAUUUUUGAGGAAUUAUCAUUUCGGUUUGAAUCCCAAAUAAUUAGGCUUAACAGUAAUGUGUCUUUUAUUUGUAUCUUUAUAUGUACCCAAUUACCCAUGGGGGAGGGUGGCCCUAGCUAGACGUAUGAAAUUCGAGCAUAGCCAUAUACUUGCUUCAAGCAACUUGAGUAUUAAAUUAAAUUGCAGAAAUGGACAAAAUUCCGCAGAAAAUUGAACCUAAAAGUAAAGAGGAAAUUGUGGUCUCAAUUGAUAGCAACAGCAUGCAACAGUUGCACCUAUUGAUUUGAUAGCAAACCGGAAAAGAACGGUAGUGCUUUAACAUCGAAAUAAAGUUAGUUUUACUAUUGAUCUAAUGUUCAUUAAUAGUGGUCAUGGGUCAUCUUAUUUUUUGAAAGGCUAGUCACAGCAGUUUCAUUAGGUAUCUACAUCAGUUCAUGCACGCAACCAUCCUCGACCGACAAUUAAAAAUGGCAGCCUGCAAUGUGAAGCCACCAAUGGUGGUCUUGAAAAUAUUCCAAGUAGUAGCUAAUAUUCAUCUUCUAUCCAUAUUAUUUGUCUCGUAAAGUUUUGCCCAACCCUUACGAAAAAAUAUUUGAUAACUUUAAUCAUAGAACUAUCAUGUCUCUCUUCUUACAUGUCUCACUAAAUUAACACAUCAUAAUUGGAAUAAUAAGGAUUAGAUCUCGGGAAAAAAAUGACAUUCUGUUUUUUCUAAGACAGAGCAGAAGCAAUAGCAAAAUAGGGUGCCUUCAGCUUCCGGUCAUAGAGUAUUUUGAACGAAUAGCAACCACAAUUUGGUGAACUGGUAAUAAUUCAAUGCUUUGAUGAAUUAAUUGCAGUACGUUUAGUUGUGGAUUCUGUGGUCGCUAGCCUCUGAAAGGACAUCUGUUUUCUUGCUAACCAUUCAGUAUACACAAUUAUAUGAGAGGCGUUAGCCCACCUGUACUGUAUCAUUGAUUGUAAAAUCUUUUGAAUAUCGAUUUCAAACAUUAAUGUUGAUCAUUUCUAAGAGCCAAUUAGUCAAGAAAGAUUAUUAAGUGCAAAGAAGAUAAAUAAGAUCUUACUACAGUGGGUUCUAGAAGUGAUCAUCUUGUCACUUUUGAUAAUUUAAACUUAGUUAUUCAUUUUUUCGAAUACAAAAAUUAUGGUACAAGGGGAGAAAGAUAAGAAGAGGGCGAGAAAACAAUUAGCAAUUCUUAUUUUGUAUUUUUAAGGAAGGGAAACUGUUAUUUUUGUCGUAUAGUGGAAGGAAAAAAAUCAUAUUAUAUGGUCAUUGAGAUAUUGAGAUUGCAAUUGUAAUACUACCCCAAAACUAGCCUACAACUCACACGUUUUCUUUUUCACGUGAUUAUUUUUCACCUUUUCACAUGAUUUCAUAGAAGAAAAUUUCAACCUGACUUUGCUGGGGUUUUAUUUAGUGGAACUUAUUAUUUUACCAGUUGGUCAAGAUUGUCUUGGAAUUUUGCUCCCAAGAGUAACAUAUAACGUACAAACGUGCUCUAGAAAACAAACCAAUUUAUGUCCCCAUCAAGGGACAAUCUUCUAUUGAUAGGUGUACCAUCUUGACUAAAAACAAUUCUAGGAGUUACAAGUGUGUUAGAUUCACAGUAAUUUAAUCUUUUGUCGACAAUUAUCUUUUCUAAUCCUUACACUCAACUGUGCCAGCUACUAUCUAUUAUUCAUAACUUUUUAAUUUCAGAAGCCUAACAUUGUAUCUUUAUUCCGAAGUCCGCAACGGACAUCAUAGUAACUAAGAAGUCGAAUAUAAUUUGAAUCACAGUAUCGCGAGUUAUUUUUUUUUUAAUUUUCUGUUAACUAGACAAUCGUACAUAGCAGUAGCUGAGCCAUCUUUAACACCCUUUCCCCUAAAGUUAUAUUAUAUAUAUAGCUAGACAAUCUUUUUACUGUUUAUUUUUUAUAUUUUAACACACUUUAAGAAAAA